UGGGGAAUCUUGCACAAUGGGCGAAAGCCUGAUGCAGCGACGCCGCGUGCGGGAUGAAGGCCUUCGGGUUGUAAACCGCUUUCAGCAGGGACGAGGCCGCAAGGUGACGGUACCUACAGAAGAAGCAACGGCUAAAUACGUGCCAGCAGCCGCGGUAAUACGUAUGUUGCAAGCGUUAUCCGGAAUUAUUGGGCUUAAAGGGCAUCUAGGCGGUAAGACAAGUUGAAGGUGAAAACCUGUGGCUCAACCAUAGGCUUGCCUACAAAACUGUUGAACUAGAGUACUGGAAAGGUGGGUGGAACUACACGAGUAGAGGUGAAAUUCGUAGAUAUGUGUAGGAAUGCCGAUGAUGAAGAUAACUCACUGGACAGAAACUGACGCUGAAGUGCGAAAGCUAGGGGAGCAAACAGG
rnacentral:rRNA from 1 species